rnacentral:rRNA from 1 species
GACGAACGCUGGCGGCAUGCCUAAUACAUGCAAGUCGAGCGGAUCUUCUUAAGUAGCUUGCUACUUAAGUUGGUUAGCGGCGGACGGGUGAGUAACACGUAGGCAACCUGCCCUCAAGACUGGGAUAACAUUCGGAAACGAAUGCUAAGACCGGAUACGCAAGCCUGGGGCAUCCCGGGCUUGGGAAACACGGAGCAAUCUGUGGGCUAAGGAUGGGCCUGCGGCGCAUUAGCUACUUGUGGGGGUAACGGCCUACCAAGGCGACGAUGCGUAGCCGACCUGAGAGGGUGAACGGCCACACUGGGACUGAGACACGGCCCAGACUCCUACGGGAGGCAGCAGUAGGGAAUCUUCCACAAUGGGCGCAAGCCUGAUGGAGCAAUGCCGCGUGAGUGAGGAAGGCUUUCGGGUCGUAAAGCUCUGUUGCCAGGGAAGAAUAAGGGCCAGUUAACUGCUGGUCCGAUGACGGUACCUGAGAAGAAAGCCCCGGCUAACUACGUGCCAGCCGCCGCGGUAACAC